rnacentral:snoRNA from 1 species
AUCCUCUGUGGCUCACAAGUGUGAUGACUGUGUUUUCAUGCCACCAUGUGAGAUGUGCUUCUCUUGCGUGUUGGGACAUUGCCCAUCUGACG